AAAUUCGUCCAUACUCACCCUAGGUAGCAAAACACCCCAAAAACACCAUUCUAGUGCCUAGAAGACAUAACAGCCACUCCACCUUCUUCCACCCUCUUUGCCUAGUUCUCCACCACCCUCCAACCCUCAAACACUCCUCCACACUUACCCUAAACCUUUCCAUACCAUUCCCCAACCAUUCUACAUCAUAAAACUACCCAAAAAUCCGUCCACAAAGCAAUCUGCCGCAAGCAAGCAAAGGAUAAUUCUUGGAUGCACUUGCUACCCAAGUUGGAGCAUUUUAGGUGUUUUCUUUCCUUUGAUUUUAAUGUGUAAUUUUAUGUAUCUU
rnacentral:lncRNA from 1 species